GGGGGGGGGGGGGGGGGGGCGGGGGGCGGGGGGGGCGGGCGGGGGCGGGCGGCGGGGUGCGGACGAGGGGGGGACGGGGGGGUGAUGCGGCGGAACGUGCCCCGUCGGGGGGGAUAGCUCCUCGCACGAGUAGCUACUACCGCCUCCGAUCUCUGGAUGAAAGCGGGGGACCGUAAGGCCUCGCGCGAUUGGGGCGGCCGAUGUCAGAUUAGGUAGUUGGUGGGGUAAAGGCUCACCAAGCCAACGAUCUGUAGCUGGUCUGAGAGGACGACCAGCCACACUGGGACUGAGACACGGCCCAGACUCCUACGGGAGGCAGCAGUGGGGAAUUUUGGACAAUGGGCGCAAGCCUGAUCCAGCAAUGCCGCGUGCAGGAAGAAGGCCUUCGGGUUGUAAACUGCUUUUGUACGGAACGAAACGGCUCUGGUUAAUACCCGGGGCUAAUGACGGUACCGUAAGAAUAAGCACCGGCUAACUACGUG
rnacentral:rRNA from 1 species